GGCUCAGAUUGAACGCUGGCGGAAUGCUUUACACAUGCAAGUCGAACGGCAGCACGAGAGCUUGCUCUUGGUGGCGAGUGGCGAACGGGUGAGUAAUAUAUCGGAACGUAUCCAAUAAUGGGGAUAACUAAUCGAAAGGUUAGCUAAUACCGCAUACGCCCUACGGGGGAAAGCAGGGGAUCUUCGGACCUUGCGUUAAUGGAGCGGCUGAUAUCUGAUUAGCUAGUAGGUGAGGUAAAGGCUCACCUAGGCUUCGAUCAGUAGCUGGUCUGAGAGGACGACCAGCCACACUGGAACUGAGACACGGUCCAGACUCCUACGGGAGGCAGCAGUGGGGAAUUUUGGACAAUGGGCGCAAGCCUGAUCCAGCCAUUCCGCGUGAGUGAAGAAGGCCUUCGGGUUGUAAAGCUCUUUCGCAAGGGAAGAAACGAUACCGACGAAUAAUCGGUGUUAAUGACGGUACCCUGAUAAGAAGCACCGGCUAACUACGUG
rnacentral:rRNA from 1 species